AAGAGGGCAGCUACCAUUCUACACAGCUUUUGAUAACAGAAAUGAUGAAAUUGCGUCCAUGCUUAUACUUCACAUGAAGAACUAUGAAGUACGGGCGAUGUUUUCAAGUUCUGGACAAAAUAAAUCAGAAUUCAGCUUCAACGAUCUGCUACGAUCUGAAAAAAUGGAGAAAACAGUAAUGUCUGUCCUGAACUGUAUGAUAGAUCUGAUUGGUACAGACGGGAAAGCUAAUAUCUUCUUCCACGUUCUAGAGAGCGAUGAAAA